GAUGAACGCUGGCGGCGUGCCUAAUACAUGCAAGUCGAGCGAACAGAUGAGGAGCUUGCUCCUCUGACGUUAGCGGCGGACGGGUGAGUAACACGUGGAUAACCUACCUAUAAGACUGGGAUAACUUCGGGAAACCGGAGCUAAUACCGGAUAAUAUAUUGAACCGCAUGGUUCAAAAGUGAAAGACGGUUUUGCUGUCACUUAUAGAUGGAUCCGCGCCGCAUUAGCUAGUUGGUAAGGUAACGGCUUACCAAGGCAACGAUGCGUAGCCGACCUGAGAGGGUGAUCGGCCACACUGGAACUGAGACACGGUCCAGACUCCUACGGGAGGCAGCAGUAGGGAAUCUUCCGCAAUGGGCGAAAGCCUGACGGAGCAACGCCGCGUGAGUGAUGAAGGUCUUCGGAUCGUAAAACUCUGUUAUUAGGGAAGAACAAAUGUGUAAGUAACUAUGCACGUCUGGACGGUACCUAAUCAGAAAGCCACGGCUAACUACGU
rnacentral:rRNA from 1 species